ensembl:lncRNA
CCGGACGGCGCGCCUGGGACGGCCUCUCCAGUCUCCUCCUCGCCCCUGCUCCGCGGCCUGAGCCCUCGUCUGCUACAUCAACUCCUCCUCCAGGUUCAGACAUCUGCCCCUUUUGGGAUGUUCUUCCUGACCUCCCGCCCCAGUUCCCUGCCGCACGUUCCCAAGUCGCCCCCGUCACCGUUCAUCCGAAACGUCUUCCUGGCUGGAGCAAAACGCCCAUGGGGCCAGCGCUACGCUCUGAUCGGCCGCACGAGUCCCCCAGUCUAGGGCCCAGUUCCCCGAGGGCCCCCGACGAAGACCUGCGAACCUCCCCCCGCGCCCCCAGAACACCUCCGCAGAGCCGACCCCGAGGGCACGGGCCUGCGCACGCGCACACGCGCUCUGACGCCGCGAAAACGACUUCAAACGUCCGUUCACGGAACCCAAAUCCACACUAGACUUCAGAUGUCUCUAAGACACGCUAAUUCUUCCCAAAAUGACAAGAAAGAAGGACCGAGAGGCGCCCGAUAGUCACAAUUCUCUAUGUAUACACAGGCAUAUGAAGCACUCGGUGUUCAUGAGGGCUGCGUUGGCCGCCCACUGGGGACGCUGAUUUUGGCCCCACGUGUCUUCGCCCAAGAAGUGCCAUGGCCACCCUGCAGGCUACUUGGCGAGCUAUAGCUGUGGCCAAGUGUGCUGUCGCCUGUGUCUCCAGUGUGUCUCCAUAGGUCUGCAGGCUGCAUCUCUCGUCUGACAUACACUCGACAGAGCAGGCAUGUGUCAUUGAUCCAGGGCACCUCUGCCUGAGGACCCCUUGCUCAAACCUCAGCUCUGUCCUCAUGCCCACGUCAGCAGCAGGAAAGCCUGAUAUGGCAGAAAGAGAGAGAAAGACAUCUGAACAUCAUCUACCCAGGACUCAGCAUGGUCUGUCCGCUUGCCCUGAGUGUGUUAAUUGACUCCAUCUCUCGUCUUCUUAUCACUGUGUGUUAUAACUUUAUUUAGCAAACCCUGUGAUUCAAGCACUUCAGUUUGAGCCUCUCCAUUCUGUGACCCCCCAACAUGGCUCGCCUGGUGUAGUUGCAUUAAGGUAAUUUUCCACGUGACAGGCACAGACCCCACAGCCUAGGCACUGAUGUGGCCAGCCCUGGGCACUGGCUGCUAACUCUCCAUCCUCUGGCACUGCUACCCCAGAAAACCUUGUGUAGCUGCUGCUACCCUCACCAGCAUUGUUCCCACAAAAUUCUCUCUCUCGGCAUUGCUAGAUUGGGAUCCAAGUGAUGGGGCAUCUGCUUGGUGGAGCCUAGACCCGUGCGACAUGGGAGCCAAGGAAAGACAGGAUCUGACUUCUACAGUGAGAAUCACGGGAAGUGAGGCGAUGAGCUGGGCGGUCAAAAAAGAAGGACAGAUAUUCCCCACAGUCGAUCUGGUCUGCCAUCCUCCUCUCUGCUUGUACGCAGAUGAGGAUAAAUGGAAGUCUCAGUAUGAAUCCUGCCUGUGUCUAGGAGAAAUGAUCCCCAAGCCGAACAGUCAUCUUUUCGUGGGGACCAGGCACAGUUCCUGCUCAUCCCGAAGCAGCAGGCUCCAGUGCCCUGGCAGCCUGCAGAGUUGCUCAAGCCGAUCACAUCCUCCCAUGGGAACCAGGAGGCACCUCACCCUCUUUUCCAGGCAGCGCCCGCUCUCCACCCGGUGCCUGAGUGCACCCGCACAGCCCUGCAUGGCUCGUGGUGUCCUCUUUCCCUGGGCUGUGAGGAAACGUGGCUGUCGGUACCAUCUGUCCAUUGUCGGGUGUCGUGUUCAACCAUCCCCAUAGCCCUCAGGCGUGAGCCCCUCCCUUACCGAAGAGAAGAGGAGGCGAUCCAUACAAGAGCGCAUAUAAAUCAUGAAUCUUUUUAAAGCACCAUUUGGCCAGAAUAAAUCAGAAUUGUUCAUGUGUUUACCCUUUGGCCCAGAUCCAGCAAAUUGCUCUAAGGAAAUAUUUGCACAGAAUCCCAGUGUUAACACGUGUGGAUGCUCACGCAGCAGCCUUUGUUUACGAGGUGAGGCGGGAAGCAGCCUAAGCGUCCGUCAGUAGGGGCCUCAUAAAUAAUUCCAUAUAGUGCGGUGUGGUGAAGUCAUUAAGGUUGAAGUAAUGUAUAUUUUACGAUAGCUGCUCAGACUCUGUCAGCACUGUGAGUUAAUUACACAGCAACAUCCUUAUUCUUCUCCCCUGAUGUUUGUCUGUUCCCAAGCUUGCUCUGCCCCAAUACCUGAUUUUGUUCCCUAAAACUAUGUCCAUGAAAAUGUAUUUUUUCCAUAAAUAAAUGAAAAGAAGAUCAAA